rnacentral:rRNA from 1 species
GACAGCAGCAGCCGCGGGAAUACGGAGGGGGCUAGCGUUGUUCGGAAUUACUGGGCGUAAAGCGCACGUAGGCGGCUUGGUAAGUUAGAGGUGAAAGCCCGCAGCUCAACUGCGGAACUGCCUUUGAUACUGGGUAUCUUGAGUAUGGAAGAGGUAAGUGGAAUUGCGAGUGUAGAGGUGAAAUUCGUAGAUAUUCGCAGGCACACCAGUGGCGAAGGCGGCUUACUGGUCCAUUACUGACGCUGAGGUGCGAAAGCGUGGGGAGCAAACAGGAUUAGAUACCCCCGUAGUCCCUGUCUCUUAUAC